CUUACUCUUCUAUCUCUUAUAGUCAAGAGCCUGAAUUGACCCAAGACUUGAUUGCUCCAAACCCUCCCUGCUUAAGACAGACUGCACUUCCCCAUCAUUCCUGUGGCAAGGCAAUUGCUGCAAGAAUUGCUCUUUAUGCCUCUCUCAUGCGACUGCCUUCCUCUCCUCAGAGUGAUCAGCUAAUGGAGCCAGGAGGAGCCUUCACCUUCAUCUCAUUUUACCCCGACUCUAUGGCUGGCUAACCAGGAGAACACAUGCACAAAAGGUGACACAGAGAGAGAUCCCUUUACUUCUGAGGAUGUGAGGGCUGCCGGUGCCCCAGAGCUCCCUCCAGCAAGAGAUUGGACCCUCACCAUCACUGGCUAUGCUUUCUCUAACUUUGCCAUAAUCUGUGAUCAGCAAGCCUUUAACAAUAAAACGAGUAUUGGUUGAGAGCUUUGACUGGGUUAAGGCCCUGUUCUGG
ensembl:lncRNA